GGGCCGGCACAAAGGAGCCGCGGCGGCGAGUGGGGCGGGCUUGGAGAGCCGGGGCGCGAGGGGCGGAGGGAACGGCGGCGCGCGCGCAGGCGGCACUGCGCAAGCCCCCUCCUCGUUCGCGGUUGGACGCAGGCCCUGCUCUCCCGUAGUGAGGUACCACAAGCAAGAGAUGCAGUGAGAAUUUAGGGAGGGGAGAGAGCCCUUCUGGAGGGGGUGGGCCCCACCAGGAUUUCGAUAGCACCACGCGAAGGAGCAGAAUGGAAGGAACCUUUGCUCAUUCGCUGAACACCGAGGGACCUAACUGCAUCCCAGGUCACUUUGCUGGUCAUCAGAGAGCCCAUGUGGAAUGGUGUCGGAUGCUAGCGACAGUCGUGUGCUUGCUGUACGACACAUGGGACAGCAGGCAGACACGGUUUGUGAGCGGAUCUCAAAGUGUCAUCUCCCAACCAGCAGCAUCAGUGUCGCCUGGGACCUCGUGCGUGAGACGUGUAAGCUCUCAGGCUCGGCAGCAGACCUGCUGAAUCAGUGAGUCCGGGGAGGGAGCCCAUCAUCUAUGUGAGCAUAUCCUUUGCUGAUCUGUGAUGUGUGCUGAAGGCUGAGGACCAGAACCGCUGGGAUGCGUACAAACCCCCCGAGCUGUGACUACACGUGACCUGAGCACCCGAUGCCUAAGGACUGAGGACUUGUACCUGGGCAACAUCAUCCACUGGGGAUUUUAGAAUAUGCUGUUCAUCCUCAGGGAGAGAACUCUCAGGCUGUGAGUUCACGUGCUUAUUCAGCUGACUGGCCACACUGCUGUUUCGAUCGCGGUGCCUGCUAUGAAUUCAUGUUUGGGCUCUCCCCCCCCCAAAUUCAUAUGUUGAACCCCUACCCCCCAGGGUGAUGGUAUGAGGAGCUGGGGCCUUCGGGAGAGACGAUUCGGGUUAGAUGAGCCACGUGAAGACACAGCAAGACCGCAAGCCAGGAAGACGGCCCUCCCCAGUUCCCAGACCAUGCUGGCGCCCUGAUCUCGGACUUCCUGAUUCCAGAACUGUGAGCAGAGAACUGGCUAUUGUUGAAGCCACCCAGUCUAUGGUAUUUUGAGACAGCGGCCUGAGCUGAUGGAGACAGAGCCUCUUCAACCUGGCUGUGGCAGAGUGGACCAGGGUGGCAUGGACAACGAGAAGCUCCAUCUGUGUGCUAGCCCUCCGUUCUCAUGCUGGUAUAGAUGUGAGUGAAGCCACUGUCAGAGACCCAAAAAUAAAGUGGCUCAAAAAAGGAGCAGUUAUUUCUUUUUUUCUGUAACAGCCUGCAGAUGAACCGUCCAGGCUGGCAAGGUGAUUCUGCCGCGUGAAGUUGUCUAGGGACCUUUGUUCUUCCAUUGUGUCAUUCUGGCAUUCUCUGCAGUUUGUCCUUCU